GGACCAUUAGCUUCAAUUGGAUAGAGCGCUCGUCUUCGGAACGAGAGGUUGCAAGUUCGAGUCUUGCAUGGUCUGCCA
rnacentral:tRNA from 1 species